rnacentral:rRNA from 1 species
CCUACGGGUGGCAGCAGUGAGGAAUAUUGGUCAAUGGACGAGAGUCUGAACCAGCCAAGUAGCGUGAAGGAUGACUGCCCUAUGGGUUGUAAACUUCUUUUAUAUGGGAAUAAAAUGUUCCACGUGUGGGAUUUUGUAUGUACCAUAUGAAUAAGGAUCGGCUAACUCCGUGCCAGCAGCCGCGGUAAUACGGAGGAUCCGAGCGUUAUCCGGAUUUAUUGGGUUUAAAGGGAGCGUAGAUGGGUUGUUAAGUCAGUUGUGAAAGUUUGCGGCUCAACCGUAAAAUUGCAAUUGAUACUGGCAGCCUUGAGUACAGUAGAGGUGGGCGGAAGUCGUGGUGUAGCGGUGAAAUGCUUAGAUAUCACGAAGAACUCCGAUUGCGAAGGCAGUUCACUGGACUGCAACUGACACUGAGGCUCGAAAGUGUGGGUAUCAAACAGGAUUAGAUACCCUUGUAGUC